AAAGUGCUCCCUCCGUCCCAAAAUUCUUGUCUUAGAUUUGUCUAGAUACAGAUGUAUCAAGUCACCUUUUAGUAUUAGAUACAUCCGUAUCUAGACAAAUCUAAGACAAGAAAUUUGGGACAGAGGGAGUAGUUG
rnacentral:pre_miRNA from 1 species